UGAAAGACAUGUGUAGUGUGACGCUACUCUAAGGCUGCCUCACUACUCUGUUUUUC
rnacentral:pre_miRNA from 16 species